AGUACCGUGAGGGAAAGGCGAAAAGAACCCCGGCGAGGGGAGUGAAAAAGAACCUGAAACCGUGUACGUACAAGCAGUGGGAGCCUCUUAAUGGGGUGACUGCGUACCUUUUGUAUAAUGGGUCAGCGACUUAUAUUCUGUAGCAAGGUUAACCGAAUAGGGGAGCCGAAGGGAAACCGAGUCUUAACUGGGCGUUAAGUUGCAGGGUAUAGACCCGAAACCCGGUGAUCUAGCCAUGGGCAGGUUGAAGGUUGGGUAACACUAACUGGAGGACCGAACCGACUAAUGUUGAAAAAUUAGCGGAUGACUUGUGGCUGGGGGUGAAAGGCCAAUCAAACCGGGAGAUAGCUGGUUCUCCCCGAAAGCUAUUUAGGUAGCGCCUCGUGAAUUCAUCUCCGGGGGUAGAGCACUGUUUCGGCAAGGGGGUCAUCCCGACUUACCAACCCGAUGCAAACUGCGAAUACCGGAGAAUGUUAUCACGGGAGACACACGGCGGGUGCUAACGUCCGUCGUGAAGAGGGAAACAACCCAGACCGCCAGCUAAGGUCCCAAAGUCAUGGUUAAGUGGGAAACGAUGUGGGAAGGCCCAGACAGCCAGGAUGUUGGCUUAGAAGCAGCCAUCAUUUAAAGAAAGCGUAAUAGCUCACUGGUCGAGUCGGCCUGCGCGGAAGAUGUAACGGGGCUAAACCAUGCACCGAAGCUGCGGCAGCGACACUAUGUGUUGUUGGGUAGGGGAGCGUUCUGUAAGCCUGUGAAGGUGUACUGUGAGGUAUGCUGGAGGUAUCAGAAGUGCGAAUGCUGACAUAAGUAACGAUAAAGCGGGUGAAAAGCCCGCUCGCCGGAAGACCAAGGGUUCCUGUCCAACGUUAAUCGGGGCAGGGUGAGUCGACCCCUAAGGCGAGGCCGAAAGGCGUAGUCGAUGGGAAACAGGUUAAUAUUCCUGUACUUGGUGUUACUGCGAAGGGGGGACGGAGAAGGCUAUGUUGGCCGGGCGACGGUUGUCCCGGUUUAAGCGUGUAGGCUGGUUUUCCAGGCAAAUCCGGAAAAUCAAGGCUGAGGCGUGAUGACGAGGCACUACGGUGCUGAAGCGACAAAUGCCCUGCUUCCAGGAAAAGCCUCUAAGCAUCAGGUAACAUCAAAUCGUACCCCAAACCGACACAGGUGGUCAGGUAGAGAAUACCAAGGCGCUUGAGAGAACUCGGGUGAAGGAACUAGGCAAAAUGGUGCCGUAACUUCGGGAGAAGGCACGCUGAUAUGUAGGUGAAGCGACUUGCUCGUGGAGCUGAAAUCAGUCGAAGAUACCAGCUGGCUGCAACUGUUUAUUAAAAACACAGCACUGUGCAAACACGAAAGUGGACGUAUACGGUGUGACGCCUGCCCGGUGCCGGAAGGUUAAUUGAUGGGGUUAGCGGUAACGCGAAGCUCUUGAUCGAAGCCCCGGUAAACGGCGGCCGUAACUAUAACGGUCCUAAGGUAGCGAAAUUCCUUGUCGGGUAAGUUCCGACCUGCACGAAUGGCGUAAUGAUCUGGCCAGGCUGUCUCCACCCGAGACUCAGUGAAAUUGAACUCGCUGUGAAGAUGCAGUGUACCCGCGGCAAGACGGAAAGACCCCGUGAACCUUUACUAUAGCUUGACACUGAACAUUGAGCCUUGAUGUGUAGGAUAGGUGGGAGGCUUUGAAGUGUGGACGCCAGUCUGCAUGGAGCCGACCUUGAAAUACCACCCUUUAAUGUUUGAUGUUCUAACGUGGGCCCCUUACCGGGGUUGCGGACAGUGUCUGGUGGGUAGUUUGACUGGGGCGGUCUCCUCCUAAAGAGUAACGGAGGAGCACGAAGGUUGGCUAAUCCUGGUCGGACAUCAGGAGGUUAGUGCAAUGGCAUAAGCCAGCUUGACUGCGAGCGUGACGGCGCGAGCAGGUGCGAAAGCAGGUCAUAGUGAUCCGGUGGUUCUGAAUGGAAGGGCCAUCGCUCAACGGAUAAA
rnacentral:rRNA from 1 species